UACGUAGGGUGCGAGCGUUAAUCGGAAUUACUGGGCGUAAAGGGUGCGCAGGCGGCUCCGCAUGUCGGGCGUGAAAGCCCCGGGCUUAACCCGGGAAUGGCGUCCGAAACUAUGGAGCUGGAGUGUGGCAGAGGGAGGUGGAAUUCCCGGUGUAGCAGUGAAAUGCGUAGAGAUCGGGAGGAACAUCCAUGGCGAAGGCAGCUACCUGGACCAACACUGACACUGAGGCACGAAAGCGUGGGGAGCAAACAGG
rnacentral:rRNA from 1 species